CCUACGGGAGGCUGCAGUGAGGAAUAUUGGUCAAUGGCCGGAAGGCUGAACCAGCCAAGCCGCGUGAGGGAGGAAGGCGCAGAGCGUCGCAGACCUCUUUUGCCGGGGGACAAAAGGCCGGCCUCGUCCGGUCCUGAGGGUACCCGGAGAAAAAGCAUCGGCUAACUCCGUGCCAGCAGCCGCGGUAAUACGGAGGAUGCGAGCUUUAUCCGGAUUCAUUGGGUUUAAAGGGUGCGCAGGCGGGCCUUUAAGCCGGCGGUGAAAUCGCGGGGCUCAACCUCGCUCCGCCGUUGAAACUGGCGUUCUUGAGUGGGCGAGAAGUAUGCGGAAUGCGUGGUGUAGCGGUGAAAUGCAUAGAUAUCACGCAGAACUCCGAUUGCGAAGGCAGCAUACCGGCGCCCAACUGAUGCUGAAGCACGAAAGCGUGGGUAUCGAACAGGAUUAGAUACCCUAGUAGUC
rnacentral:rRNA from 1 species